rnacentral:lncRNA from 1 species
AAAAGGUGAGCAUGAUAGCGAUGGGGAAGAGAGGAGUACAAAAAUUGGGUGGUGGGUGGGUGACAGUUGAUGACUUUAGAGCAUCUGCAACAGACUAUCUAUUUUUGCCUCUCCAUUUGACUCUCUAUCCAAGUUGGAAAAAAGAUUCCUCUUCAUAUUGAGUUGUUCAUUCCAACAUACUAUCCAUUUCCCACCCUCCAAAUCCCAAUAGCUAGGUUCCUCUCUAAAAAUAUACACUCUUCAUUCACUCCAACAGCC